rnacentral:rRNA from 1 species
CCUACGGGUGGCAGCAGUGGGGAAUAUUGGUCAAUGGGCGCGAGCCUGAACCAGCCACGUAGCGUGAAGGAUGACUGCCCUACGGGUUGUAAACUUCUUUUAUAAAGGAAUGAAGUGAGGCACGUGUGCCUUUUUGUAUAUACUUUAUGAAUAGGGAUCGGCUAACUCCGUGCGAGCAGCCGCGGUAAUACGGAGGAUCCGAGCGUUAUCCGGAUUUAUUGGGUGUAAAGGGAGCGUAGACGGGUUGUUAAGUCAGUUGUGAAAGGUUGCGGCUCAACCGUAAAACUGCAAUUGAUACUGGCAGUCUUGAGUACAGGUGAGGUAGGCGGAAUUCGUGGUGUAGCGGUGAAAUGCUUAGAUAUUACGAAGAACUCCGAUGGCGAAGGCAGCUUACUAAACGGCAACUGACAUUGAUGCUCGAAAGUGUGGGUAUCAAACAGGAUUAGAUACCCUUGUAGUC